rnacentral:rRNA from 1 species
UCGAGAAUCUUCGGCAAUGGGCGCAAGCCUGACCGAGCGACGCCGCGUGCGGGAUGAAGGCCUUCGGGUUGUAAACCGCUGUCAGAGGGGAGGAAAUGCUAUGGGGUUCUCUCCAUAGUUUGACCGAUCCUCAGAGGAAGCGCAGGCUAAGUUCGUGCCAGCAGCCGCGGUAACACGAACUGCGCGAACGUUAUUCGGAAUCACUGGGCUUAAAGAGUGCGUAGGCGGCCUGUCAAGUUGGGUGUGAAAUCCCUCGACUCAACCGAGGAACUGCGCUCAAAACUGGCAGGCUUGAGGGAGACAGAGGUGAGCGGAACUGAUGGUGGAGCGGUGAAAUGCGUUGAUAUCAUCAGGAACACCGGUGGCGAAGGCGGCUCACUGGGUCUCUUCUGACGCUGAGGCACGAAAGCUAGGGUAGCGAACGGGAUUAGAUACCCCCGUAGUCC